CCGUCACACCAUGAGAGUUGGAAAUACCCGAAGCCUGUGAGCUAACUGUAAAGAGGCAGCAGUCGAAGGUAGAGCCAAUGAUUGGGUGAAGUCGUAACAAGGUAUC
rnacentral:rRNA from 1 species